AAAAAUACGUCUCAGUUCAGAUUGCAGGCUGCAACUCGCCUGCAUGAAGUCGGAAUUGCUAGUAAUCGCAGAUCAGCAUGCUGCGGUGAAUACGUUCCCGGGCCUUGUACACACCGCCCGUCACACCAUGGGAGUCGGUAACACCCGAAGUCGGUAGCCUAACCGUAAGGAGGGCGCCGCCAAGGUGGGAUUGAUGACUGGGGUGAAGUCGUAACAAGGUACC
rnacentral:rRNA from 1 species